rnacentral:rRNA from 1 species
AUUGAACGCUGGCGGCAGGCCUAACACAUGCAAGUCGAACGAGUGGCGGACGGGUGAGUAAUGUCUGGGAAACUGCCUGAUGGAGGGGGAUAACUACUGGAAACGGUAGCUAAUACCGCAUACCAUCGGAUGUGCCCAGAUGGGAUUAGCUAGUAGGUGGGGUAACGGCUCACCUAGGAGACGAUCCCUAGCUGGUCUGAGCGGAUGACCAGCCAACCUGGAAUGGAGACACGGUCCAGACUCCUACGGGUGGCAGCAGUGGGGAAUAUUGCACAAGGGGCGCUAGCCUGAUGCAGCCAUGCCGGUUGUAUGAAGAAGGCCUUCGGGUUGUAAAGUACUUUCAGCGGGGAGGCGUUACCCGCAGAAGAAGCACCGGCUAACUCCGUGCCAGCAGCCGCGGUAAUAC